GAAGCUGUUUCCAAGCAUUCCGUUUUUGCAUUCAGCACAAGAAGAAGAAAAAAAAGAAAGCCCACAGAAUGAGAUCAAAUUGCAAGCUCAAAACAAAGGUUUUCCUUCUCAGGCAACAGGGAUGGUGAAGUUUCAGUUGACCCAGCCCUGGAGUAGCACGAGCACAGAUGGGCUCGUGCACAGCUUCUCGGUCCCUCUGCCCCGAGAUUAAUUGGAGCAUUUGUUCCACGUCACAACCGAAUGUGACCACGGACUCACGUGACUUUUGGAGACAAGUGAGGCAGAAUUUGCUGUGAAUGACCAGGUUGGUGAUCAGCAGCUGCUCUCUCUCUCCUACCUGGUUUGCAAUAUGUCUGCAUCACUUCGUAUGAGUUUACGGAUCGACACCCACUCAAAACUAGAGCUCACAAGACGCACUGAUGUUUUUAUAGUCAAAUAAAACAAACACCUUAAUUCAGAUCAAAAGACAUCUGAUCAGAUAGCAAAUCAAGUAACAAAAAAGAAGUCCCCGCACCUCGAGGAGUCUACUUCCUCGCCAGUCACCAUGCUUUCAGUGGGAGGAUGCCAACAUUGAGAACAUGUGUGCCACCUGGGCACAUGCGUGGAAGACACAUGAGGACAUAUUGGGUCAGAAUAAUUCCUAUCUCCAAUGCUAGAAAGCUACAGAUAUCCAUGGGGAGUGUCUUUAUACUGCCUUCUGUUGAGCAUUGUGACUCCAUGCUUUAUUGGUUGUUGUGAAUCUGCUAGGCAUCAUAGGGAUGCCGGUCACUAUGUCUCUGGUCUCUGCUGACCAUUGAGUUAUUCUAUUAAGCAUUUCAGCUGUUCUUUAAACAGGGUGUUUACUGAGCUAGUCUCUACAGUCAUCUGAUAGACCUUAGCUAUUCAGCUUCUUGGUGUUAUCAUCUGCUCUCUAGUACCCUCUGCUUAGGGUAUGAUAGAUAGUGAGCCUCUCCCUUGCAAGGGAAGCUUUUAGCCUAAGGCAAUGACCACAAGGCAAUAGGAAAAAUCCAAUAGAUACCCUCAGGUUAAAUGUAUGCUUUUGACUUUCCCUCUGUUGCUCUCACUCAAAGUCCUUGGCACCAGCCAACUAUCUGACUUAGGGUUAGAAAUAUCCUCUAGUCUCCCUAUUGAGCCACUGGUCUUUGUUUAAGAACAAAGCUUCCUGGUCUCCCCGGGACAGCAGUGUGUGUGAGUUUAUCAUCUAGAUCAUAGAUUAAGAGCUUUACUACCUUCACAUGGCUUUGAGAGAAAAAUGAGUGUCACAGAGGGAUAUGAUAGAAAAGAUCAAGGCAAGGGAGAUAUAAGUGCUUUUUAGAACCCUCCUUGUGCUCUCCACAAAAUCCCCCACAUCAUCAACACUGUUCAGCCAACAUUCUUUUUAAACCAGCUGAAACUGGCUCCUUCCUGAGAACCGCCGUCUCUACUGGACACUCCUCUCAAACUGCCGGAUUCACAGGGCCAGGAGGCAAGGUGGUUGCUGCCAUUUCCAGAACAUUCCUCUACUUCCAACCUUCUCAAAAUCCAUGAAUUCCAUUGAGGUUGCCCUCUUCUUUAGACUAUGAGCUCCUCAAGAAUAGGGACUAUUUUUGGCCUCUU